AUGUUAAUUCAUUUAAAAUAUCUACUGACUGCUGAUUAUAUACGGUAAAGAAAUGAAUUUAGAUCUGUCACUAAUUCCUUCUGAAAAGACCAGGUAUAGUAUUACAUGUGAAAGCAGCACUAUUCCAAUAGUUCAAAUGGUGAGCUAUUUCAAAAUACCUUCAUAUACUUCAAAAAUGUAUGACAUACAAGCUUGAUGUAUAAUAGCCACUUAAUAAAAUCGGAAUGAUUAGUAAAAAAUGUAAACAUUGAAUUGUACCUCAAAGGUUCUAGAUUUGAAUUUCUGUUUCUUUUGCGCUUAGUUAUUAAAAUUAUCAAAGUCAUCCAAACGUUUCUGAAAUAUUUGUCAGUUCACUCCUUAAUAAUUCCAAUAAUGAGAUUUAAGUGAAAAAUGAUACCAUUUCUGGAAUUCAAAAGAAUACAAUAUUUGUGAAUCAUUGGAAGUUUCCAGUGGCAGCAGAAAUUCUGAACUGAAGCCACAUAACUUGGAACACCUGUCAGUGAGUUAUGACUGCUCCAGCAACGAGGUAGCAUCAUCUUUGAUCAAUUGUGCACAAGCUGAGUCAAGGUCAGACUCGGCCAGGACCUUCACCCCACAAGAGCUGUGAGGGUGGGACUGACUCCUGGUCUGGGGUUGAGACACAGCCAAUAUGUGUGCAUCACCGUGAGGCUGCGGUCGCCACAUCACCACUGGUCAGCAGUAAAGUGGUGUGCAGCUGGCUUGAAAGCAUCUAGUAUCUAUGAGAUACUUGAACUCUUCCUCUGUUUUGCUUCUUAAGAAAAAAGGCACAUUUAUAACAUAAAAAGGGCCCUCAAAUGUAAUAGAAAUCAAUUUUUAAGAGUCAUCUGAGUGGGGAUUACAUGAAAGGUCUGCAUCUUACUGAGGAAUUCCCUAGCCUCUUCGAACCUCAGCUUAUUCUGUUGCCACCUAAUUUAGUUGCUGCGAAGAAUAGAUAUGAUUUACUUAGGGAAAAAUCCAUCAAUACCCAUGUGUGUUGAAGAAAACCAAAGUAGAGAUGAAAUAAUAUUAGAUUCUUUUGUCAUCAGUCUCAUUGUUUAUCUGACAGUAUCUUGUUGAUAACUGCUCUGUUGGAACUCUCCGAGUCUUUGCUUGUAUUUCUUGAACAUAGCUUUUUAAUUAUUAGAAUCAAUUCACUAAUUCCUAGGUUUCCAUGCUCCAUUAGUGACUAUGGAUGAAAAGUUCUCUGCAGGAGGCAUGCUGUGCUUUCACAAAGGCUCUGUAAGGAAGAUUUCUCUAUUUAGUCAUUUAAAUCUUGCAUAUAAUAUAAUCAACAAGUUUGCAAAGGGUCUUUGAAAUAAUGUGACAUUUACCUUAUUCAGCUAUCAGAAUGAUGUCCACUGAGUUGCUUUGUCCUUCUCUCAAAUAAUGCAGGGCACUGGAUCAUCUUGCUAUACAAAGUGUGUUGACUCAGUGUUUUGACUCUAGCAGAUUUAAAAGUUCUAUAAGCCAGUUACAUCAAAUGAAAAAAGCAGAGCAAAUACUUGCCAGGGCCUACCCCUCUACAGAACAUGAAAACAUUGCGGGAAAAUUUGUUAGAAUCAGUUUCUUCAGAACUCUGAAAAAUAGUCAAAGGUUUAUAAGAACAAAGCAAAUGCUGAAUAACGAAAAACAUAACUUUAAAAUGAUAGGAAAGUCUGAUGUCAUUUUUGCUCACUCUUGCCCCAGCCCCUCCCUGGUGUGAUGUCAGUCUUGAUGAUGGCAGCUCACAUUUCCAGUGUGGUACCCUGAUUCCUGGGUCCAGAGGAAAGAGAACAGACCUUUCUUUCAAAGAGUUGUGUUUGUCUGUUCUUAUCUGUCUGGGGCUACCUGGAGGACUGAUGCUAGGCACCUGCCCUUGUUCUCAUUGAAUUAGGAACUUAGGAUGGAAAAGCAGUGGGCAGCCUUUGAGAAUAUUAUAUGGUAAAUGAAAAACGCAGAUUUCUGGAGCAAAAGAUUAUAAUAGGGGCCAAAAAUAGAUUAGCUGAAAAUCUAUGACAAAAGUCUAGGGAAGCAUUCCCUGGUGAAAUUAAGGCACUGAAGAGUGUCCAUGAUACUGAGGACUGUGGAGAUGCUCAUGCCUCUGCAGAGAGGUUGCAUGUUGUUGAGAUAGAAAAACAAAGCUUUCACCUGCCGUUUACGACUAGGCUUAAUGCAAACAGAAAGCAAAGACUGAAGUAGAACUGUAAAAAGUCUGGCCAAGUGCUUAUGGAGGGUACAAACCAAAGCCGAGGCACAGACUGGGAAUUGUUUUUCUUUUCCUUUUUCACUUUUUCUUCCUUCCUUCCUUCCUCCCUCUGUUCCUUCCUUCUCCUGGCACUCAAGGCAAUCUCUUUCAACACACUAGCUAAACAUAAGUAAAGGAACAGACUUCAGAGAUCACAUAUGACAAACAAUAUAGACUUUACAAAAAUAGUUUAGAAAAUUCACUAAACAAAUAUGCAGCCCAUUGAAAACAAAACAACAACAAACUCCAAACCGUUACAAAGGCAAAAAAUCUGAUUUUCAGAGUAACCAUAUUACAGUAUUCAAAAUGUCCAGUUUUCCACCAAAAUUAGGUAGCAAGCAAAAGAACAAGAAGAUACCGCACAAUUAAAAAGAAAUAAUAGAAACUGUUCCUGAGGAAUCACAGACAUUGAAUUUAUGAGGCAAAACUUUAAAUCAACUAUCUUAAAUAUCCUCAAAGAGGGAAAAGAAAUUAUGGAAAAAGAGCUAAAGGAAAUGAGGGGAAAUAAUGCAUGAUCAGAUACAGAAUGUCAAUAGAGGUAGAAAUUACAAAAAAAUCACAAUAAGCAAAAUGAGAAAUUUAAUAGAUGUUUCAGCAGAAUAUUUGAGAAGGCAGAAGAAAAAAUCAGUAAACUUUAGCUAGAUCAAUUGAAAUGAUCCAUUCUGAGGAGCUGAAAGGGAAAAAAAUGAAAAACUAACAAGAGUGUAUGAGACUAUGAGACACCAGCAUGAAUACAAACUCGUGAGUAAUUACAGUCCCAGAAGGAGAGGAAAGAGAGAAUCGGGUAGAAAGAAUAUUUGAAGAAAUAAUGGCUGAAACAUCCUACAUUUCAUAAAUACAUGAUUUUACACAUCAAAAAAAUCUCAAAGAAUUCCAAAAAGGAUAAACACAAAUAGACCCAUCCUGAGACAUAUAAUCAACUUGUCAAAAGACAAGGAGCUUUUGAAAAUGACAAGAGAGCAGUGACUCAUCCAUGACUCAUCAUAAACAGGGGGUCCCUAAUUAGAGCAACAAGCAGUGUUUUUCAUCAGAAUCACUGAGGCCUGAAGGAAGUGGCAUGACAUUUUUGGAGUGCUAAAGGGGAAAAAACAAAACAAAGCAAAACAAGCCUGUCAACCAAGAAUUUUAUAUCCAUCAAAACUUUUCAAAUAUGAAGAAAAAAUGGAGACAUUUUCAGAUAAAUAAAAGCUAAGGGAGUCCACCAUGAGUAAACUUACCCUGAGUAAUGCUAAAAGGAGUCAAUCCAUCAGUCUAAAAUGAAAUAUGACACUAGAGAGUAACUCAAAGCUGUAUGAAGAAAUAAAGAACUCUGGUAUAGAUAACUACAAAGUUAAAUAUAAAACCAGUCUUAUUGGAUUUUUUAGUUUCUAACUCCUUGUUCUGCUACCUAUAUGAUUUAAAAGACAAAUGCAUUGAACAAUAACUAUAUGACUGUAUAUCCAUGUUAAUGGGUAGGCAACAUAUAAGAUACAAUUAUCCAUAAAGUAUAUGAUAGAUUAGUAUGUACUGCUCUUACAAUUUUCCAUAAUAUGUCAUGGGCCUGUUUGGGAGCAGUUAAACUUGUCAAAAAUUGGUUGUGAAAAGAACACCACCACAGAGGGCUUUAUUUAAUGAUGGCAUUUAAUUUUUUCAUUACGUAUAAUAAUCUACCUCUAAACAGACUGGGAGUGGCUUUCAGUAUGAAUAGAAAUAGUCAUGGUUGUUGAAAUUAAUUAAACAAAAUGACUUCUGUUUUUCUCUAAAGAAGCUAAUCUACCAUAUACUUUAUAUGGCUCUAAUCCAUUUGCCCACAUUUCUCCCUUUCUUCCAGUCCCUUAUACCAGUUUUGUUUUUGUUAACUUAUAUUUUUUUCAAUAUUAUAUUUAAUUCUUUGCUUCCUCUUCUUUUCAUGUAUCUCUGUAUGUUUUGUUUUGGAACUGUCCAUGUAAUUCUUAGUUACCCACUAUCCUCCACAAGCCUUGAUUUUCUGCUUACCAUCAGCUAGGCAUCAGGAAAAAUUCUGGAUCUAAAUGUGACACCAUUUCUUCACUUCUGGUCAAAAACUGUCACUCAGAUUACAAACCAGGUCACAGACUGAUCGAUCUGCCAGAUUUAGGAUAACUUUUGGUUUUGCCUAAAGGCAUAAUUUUACUCUUUGCAUUUAAUUCCUCUAUUUACAACACCACCAUACAUGAUACUAUUUAAUCAUUUGAUAAAUUGACUUAAUGCUGUUUACACACCUAGCAGUUAAAUGAAUGGAAAUUUUAUUCUUUCUGAAAGGUAAAACUCUCAUUUGAGUUAUCUCAGAAUGUAUCAUAACCAUGUAUUUUAUGAUAAAAUAAUUAAGUUAAAUAUUCAGCAUGGCUCAUUGAGCCUUUUUGAGUAACACAUUUAGGGAAUUAAAAAUUGGUUUUGAAUGAUUUCUUCUCCUUAGAGAAUAAUUAUAUUUUCCAUUAAUCACAAAUUGAGGAACCAUUCAUUGCAUAGUUCUUAGGGCUAUGAAUGUUGUGCUUCAUUUCUUAAUUCAGCCUGACUCAGAUGCCUCUCCAAAGAAUCAGACAUUUAAAUGUAAAGUUUUCAGUAGGGAUUUCUUAAUUAGCUUUUAAUAAGAGAAAAAAUAUUAUCAUCUGCAUAUCAUUCUUUUUAUUCAGAGAAAAAUAAGAAAUUCCAUAUUAAACAAUGCCGUUGUUCUAUAUUCUUUUGGAAACAUCAAGAAUAUUCCAUUGAAUUGAUAAUGCAGGACAUAGGAAUGUAUAAAUAAUAAGAUUGCUACUCCCUAAUUCAUACAGUUUGCAUGCUUUGAAAGUACAGUUCAUAGGAAAUUUAUGAAUCCUAACUCAGUAUAAGCAUUCUUUAUUGCACAGUGAAAAAGAAAAUAUCAAGGGAUAGUAACAACAGAAUUUACGGUUUAAUGUUCCUAGACGUGAAUGGUACUAACUAAAUUUAGCUUUAAUACAAAGGAAGUUUCUAAUUUUAAUUCAGUUAUUUAAUAAGUUGUUGAACUCAUAAGAUGCAUUAAACUGUGUGGAGAAGAGAAGGUAAGAUGAAGUGUGAGCUAUGUAACCUUCCCAAAGUAGUUUAUCUACUUAAUGCGUUAUUCAUAUUUUCAUAUAUUCAUGAUUUAUAGUUCUGCUACUUCCAGCAAUGUAGUUCAAAGUGUUCUUCCCCAUUAUCUUUCUAAGCUACAUCUCUCUCCCUCCCUAAAGAUCAUGAUAAGCUCUACAUUAUAUUUGGAAUGUCUCACAUCCAAAUCCCUUUCUCCUGAUGUCUCCUGACUUUGAGACUCAUGUUCUU
rnacentral:lncRNA from 1 species